rnacentral:rRNA from 1 species
AGCACGGGAGCUUGCUCUUGGUGGCGAGUGGCGAACGGGUGAGUAAUGCGUCGGAACGUACCGAGUAAUGGGGGAUAACGCAGCGAAAGUUGUGCUAAUACCGCAUACGCCCUCCGGGGGAAAGCAGGGGAUCUUCGGACCUUGCGUUAUUCGAGCGGCCGACGUCUGAUUAGCUAGUUGGUGGGGUAAAGGCCUACCAAGGCGACGAUCAGUAGCGGGUCUGAGAGGAUGAUCCGCCACACUGGAACUGAGACACGGUCCAGACUCCUACGGGAGGCAGCAGUGGGGAAUUUUGGACAAUGGGGGCAACCCUGAUCCAGCCAUUCCGCGUGAGUGAAGAAGGCCUUCGGGUUGUAAAGCUCUUUCAGCAGGAACGAAACGGUACGCUCUAACAUAGCGUGCUAAUGGCGGUACCUGCAGAAGAAGCACCGGCUAACUACGUGCCAGCAGCCGCGGUAAUACGUAGGGUGCGAGCGUUAAUCGGAAUUACUGGGCGUAAAGCGUGCGCAGGCGGACUGUUAAGCAAGAUGUGAAAUCCCCGGGCUUAACCUGGGAAUGGCAUUUUGAACUGGCAGUCUAGAGUGUGUCAGAGGGGGGUAGAAUUCCACGUGUAGCAGUGAAAUGCGUAGAGAUGUGGAGGAAUACCGAUGGCGAAGGCAGCCCCCUGGGAUAACACUGACGCUCAUGUACGAAAGCGUGGGUAGCAAACAGGAUUAGAUACCCUGGUAGUCCACGCCCUAAACGAUGUCAACUGGUUGUUGGGGGAGUGAAAUCCCUUAGUAACGAAGCUAACGCGUGAAGUUGACCGCCUGGGGAGUACGGUCGCAAGAUUAAAACUCAAAGGAAUUGACGGGGACCCGCACAAGCGGUGGAUGAUGUGGAUUAAUUCGAUGCAACGCGAAAAACCUUACCUACCCUUGACAUGUCCAGAAUCCUGCAGAGAUGCGGGAGUGCCCGAAAGGGAAUUGGAACACAGGUGCUGCAUGGCUGUCGUCAGCUCGUGUCGUGAGAUGUUGGGUUAAGUCCCGCAACGAGCGCAACCCUUAUCAUUAGUUGCUACGCAAGGGCACUCUAACGAGACUGCCGGUGACAAACCGGAGGAAGGUGGGGAUGACGUCAAGUCCUCAUGGCCCUUAUGGGUAGGGCUUCACACGUCAUACAAUGGUCGGUACAGAGGGUUGCCAAGCCGCGAGGUGGAGCCAAUCCCAGAAAGCCGAUCGUAGUCCGGAUUGUUCUCUGCAACUCGAGAGCAUGAAGUCGGAAUCGCUAGUAAUCGCGGAUCAGCAUGUCGCGGUGAAUACGUUCCCGGGUCUUGUACACACCGCCCGUCACACCAUGGGAGUGGAAUCUGGCAGAAGUAGGUAGCCUAACCGCAAGGAGGGCGCUUACCACGCUGGGUUUCAUGA